GAUCAUGGCUCAGGAUGAACGCUAGCUACAGGCUUAACACAUGCAAGUCGAGGGGCAGCAUGGUCUUAGCUUGCUAAGGCCGAUGGCGACCGGCGUACGGGUGAGUAACACGUAUCCAACCUGCCGUCUACUCUUGGACAGCCUUCUGAGAGGAAGAUUAAUACAAGAUGGCAUCAUGAGUCCGCAUGUUCACAUGAUUAAAGGUAUUCCGGUAGACGAUGGGGA
rnacentral:rRNA from 1 species